AGUGCGUAAUAGCUCACUGGUCGAGUGAAGUUGCGCGGAAAAUUACCGGGGCUAAGCUAUACACCGAAAUUGCGGAUUUGCAGUUGAAAGACACUGUAAGUGGUAGAGGAGCAUUCUGUAGUAGGACGAAGCAGUACCGAAAGGAGCUGUGGACGAGGCAGAAGAGAGAAUGCUGGAAUAAGUAGCGAGAGGAUGGUGAGAAUCCAUCCCGUCGAAAAUCUAAGGUUUCCUAGGGAAGGUUCGUCCGCCUAGGGUAAGUCGGGACCUAAGGAGAGGCCAAAAGGCGUAUCUGAUGGACAGCAGGUUGAAAUUCCUGCACUAUAGCUAUACUUAAAAGAUGCAAGGGACGCAGAAGUGGAAGAUAACCAUGGAAGAGGAAAGACAUGGCCCGCAAGGGGGAGUGAAACAAUAAGUAACGAAGUAUCAAGAAGCACGCUGACGAGAAAAGCUUGUAGACAUUGUAUAGAAAUACCCGUACCGCAAACCGACACAGGUAGAUGAGGAGAGAAUCCUAAGACGAGCGGGAGAAGCAUUGUUAAGGAACUCGGCAAAUUAACCCCGUAACUUCGGAAUAAGGGGUACUGAUGUAACAGUCAGUCGCAGAGAAAAGGCCCAAGCAACUGUUUAACAAAAACAUAGGUUUCUGCUAAAUCGAAAGAUGAAGUAUAGGAGCUGACGCCUGCCCAGUGCUGGAAGGUUAAGGGAAGAGGUUAGAUUAUAUCAAAGCUUCGAACUGAAGCCCCAGUGAACGGCGGCCGUAACUAUAACGGUCCUAAGGUAGCGAAAUUCCUUGUCAGGUAAGUUCUGACCCGCACGAAAGGCGUAAUGAUUUGGGCACUGUCUCGACAAUGUCCCCGGCGAAAUUGUAGUACUAGUGAAGAUGCUAGUUACCUGCGAUAAGACAGAAAGACCCCAUGGAGCUUUACUGCAGUUUGAUACUGGGUUUCGAUGAUUUAUGUACAGGAUAGUUGGGAGGCUAUGAGUAAGAGGCGUCAGCUUCUUAGGAGCCAACGUUGGGAUACCAACCUUAAGUUAUUGAAAUUCUAACCUUUGAUCAUGAACUGGUCAGGGGACAAUGUCAGACGGGCAGUUUGACUGGGGCGGUCGCCUCCUAAAGAGUAACGGAGGCGUCCAAAGGUUCCCUCAGCGCGGACAGAAAUCGCGCGAAAGAGUGCAAAGGCAGAAGGGAGCUUAACUGAGAGACAGACAUGUCGACCAGAUACGAAAGUAGGGCUUAGUGAUCCGGUGGUUGUAAAUGGAAAUGCCAUCGCUCAACGGACAAAAGUUACCCUGGGGAUAACAGGCUUAUCUCCCCCAAGAGUUCACAUCGACGGGGAGGUUUGGCACCUCGAUGUCGGCUCAUCGCAUCCUGGAGCGGAAGUACGUUCCAAGGGUUGGGCUGUUCGCCCAUUAAAGCGGUACGCGAGCUGGGUUCAGAACGUCGUGAGACAGUUCGGUCCUUAUCUAUCGCAGGCGUAAGAUAUUUGAAGAGUGCUGUCCUUAGUACGAGAGGACCAGGAUGGACAUACCAAUGGUGUAUCAGUUGUCUCACCAGAGGCACGGCUGAGUAGCUAAGUAUGGAUUGGAUAAACGCUGAAAGCAUCUAAGUGUGAAGCCAACUCUAAGAUAAGAUAUCUCAUAUCGUAAGGUAGUAAGAUUCCAUAAAGACUAUGUGGUUGAUAGGUUGGAGGUGUAAGUGUAGCGAUACAUUGAGCUGACCAAUACUAAUAAAUCGAGGGCUUAACCAC
rnacentral:rRNA from 1 species